rnacentral:rRNA from 1 species
UACGUAGGGUGCGAGCGUUGUCCGGAAUUAUUGGGCGUAAAGGGCUCGUAGGCGGCCAACUAAGUCGGACGUGAAAUCCCCGGGCUCAACCUGGGAAUGGCAUUUGGGACUGCAAGGCUGGAGUGCGGCAGAGGAGACUGGAAUUCCUGGUGUAGCAGUGAAAUGCGUAGAUAUCAGGAGGAAUACCGAUGGCGAAGGCAGGUCUCUGGGCUGACACGUGACGCUCAUGCACGAAAGCGUGGGGAGCAAACAGG